UCAAAUUCACUUUGUGGCUGAUAAUGAUUUUGAACUCCUGAUUCUCUUACCUCUAUCUCCCAAGAGUUUGGAUUAGAGGCAUGUGCCACCUUCCUGAAUUCAUGUGGUGCUGGGAUUUGAACCUACGGCUUCGAGAGUACUUUAGGCAAACCUCCUAUCAAAUCAGCUCCUUCUUCAGCCCUAAGAGGAGCUCCCGUCUGAGAGUCAGCAGAACUUGGACGCAGCAAACCAGGGAAAAGUCACAGAAAACCUGAGCUGCAGCUGGAAAACAGAGCCAAGGAUGCUCUGAGACCACUGGCAGAAAACAAGGAUUCACGGAGGACGACUGACGUAAGAGCGCUCGGGUUGAAAAGUUGUACUUUACCCAGAGUCUCUUCCAAGGAACAAUUAAUCACGAGCAGUAAAACGAAUGCUUAAUGGAGCCAGAGUUGAAGCUUACUGGGGAAAACGCUGCCCGCUGCCCAGUGAAUACAAAGCCCUGGCUUUGAUCCCCAGCAGCUGAGAAGUUAAAACUUAUUUUUAAGAAAGGAUGUUAGUAGAUACAUUUAAACGUUGCCAGGCUCGGCCUGAGGCUGCAGUAAUCCCAGCAAUCUAGAGAGCUCAAGGCAGGAGGAUCUAAAGGUCAACUCCAUCUUCUGCUACACAGGAAGCAGGGGCCCAGCCCGAGUCACAGGCCUAAAAAAAAAAAGGUUGGAGAGACACAGCUCACAGGUUAAGUACCCACUGUACAAGCCUGACAGUCUGAGAUCUGUGCUGGUGACAAAGUCGUCCUCUGACCUCCACGGAUUCUCGGUGGCUCAACUGUACCUGUAUGCACACAUACAUUAUGCACAAAUAUCCAUGCACACUCAUACAGUAGAAUGAUAAAGUUUAAAAGCUCACAUGCACUGUAUGCAUAUACGUGCUUGCACAUACCGUGUCCAUACUCAUACAAUAUAUAGCAAUAAUAAAGUUUAAAAGCUCAUGUGCCCUUGUAUACACAUAUACACCAUCCAUACCCAUCCACACACACUCAUACAAUAAUAAUAAGGUUUUAAAAAGCCAGCUCAACUAACCAAAUACCUAAUGUCUCAUGGCCGUACUGUUCUGUAAACAUCCAUUUGAUCAGAUGGCAUCAUCUUUCUGGGUAGUCCCCUGACUUAUUCUCUCAAUUUUCAGGUGUUUUAAAAAAGAUAUCUUCUCGACUGACUAUUUAAAAGAGCCUUCCUUUUCUCUUCAACUGAGCUUCUUCCUUUUUAUCUGCUUGCUUGUUCCAUUUUGUUAGUUUUCCCACAGCUAUUAUGACUUGCUGGCAUUAUAAUCUCUGUUAUAUAAUAAGCUUAUUCUUAAUUUAUG